AGGAUGAACGCUAGCGGCAGGCCUAAUACAUGCAAGUCGAACGGUGGUAGCAAUACCAUAGUGGCGCACGGGUGCGUAACACGUAACUAACCUACCUAUAACUGGGGGAUAGCCCGCCGAAAGGCGGAUUAAUACCGCAUAAGCUAUUUAAGUGGCAUCACUUGCUUAGUAAAGAUUUAUUGGUUAUAGAUGGGGUUGCGGGUCAUUAGCUAGUUGGUUGGGUAACGGCUGACCAAGGCGACGAUGACUA
rnacentral:rRNA from 1 species